AUUGAUAUCCACAUAGAUAUGGACUUCAGUGAGAGUGACACCGAUUACUAGUAAUCCUUGGGUUAUUGCCAAAUCGAUUGAUAAUCAAACUUUCAAUGAAAA